CGAGUCGGCUGGACGGUCGCCGCCUGCGCAAGCAGGGGGAGGAAAGUCCGGGCUUCGCAGGGCAAAGUGCCAGGUAACGCCUGGGCGGCGUGAGCCGACGGAAAGUGCAACAGAGAGCAGUCCGCCGAACGGUGUCGCAAGACAUGCGUGGUAAGGGUGAAACGGUGCGGUAAGAGCGCACCACGAGUCUGGUAACAGACCGGUACGGCAAACCCCACUUGAAGCAAGACCAAAUAGGCAUCCUAUGGCGUGGCCCGCGCUGGAUGCGGGUAGGUUGCUGGAGCGCACGGGUGACCGUGCGCCUAGAGGAAUGACCGUCCUCGACAGAACCCGGCUUACAGGCCGACUCGGCCU
rnacentral:RNase_P_RNA from 1 species